rnacentral:rRNA from 1 species
UACGUAGGUGGCAAGCGUUGUCCGGAUUUACUGGGCGUAAAGAGCGCGCAGGCGGUCGUGCAAGUCGCGUGUGAAAGCCCCCGGCUCAACUGGGGAGGGUCACGCGAUACUGCUCGACUCGAAGGCAGGAGAGGGAAGUGGAAUUCCCGGUGUAGUGGUGAAAUGACGUAGAUAUCGGGAGGAACACCGAGUGGCGGAAGGCGAACUUCCUGGUCC